rnacentral:rRNA from 1 species
UACGUAGGGUGCGAGCGUUAAUCGGAAUUACUGGGCGUAAAGCGUGCGUAGACGGUAGCGUAAGUCAGAUGUGAAAGCCCCGGGCUCAACCUGGGAAUUGCAUUUGAGACUGCUCUGCUCGGGUGCGGAAGAGGGAAGCGGAAUUUCCGGUGUAGAGGUGAAAUGCGUAGAUAUCGGGAGGAACACCAGUGGCGAAGGCGGCCUUCUGGACCAGUACUGACGCUCAUGCACGAAAGCGUGGGGAGCAAACAGG